GCUCACUUAGUCUCAGCACUUGUAUUAACAGGAACAAUUCAGAAAUUAGCAUGACCCUGGCUCAAGGAUGCCAAACAAAAUUUUUUAAGCACUUCAUCUUUUU
ensembl:snRNA U6 U6 spliceosomal RNA